UAGGGAAUCUUCGGCAAUGGACGAAAGUCUGACCGAGCAACGCCGCGUGAGUGAAGAAGGUUUUCGGAUCGUAAAACUCUGUUGUUAGAGAAGAACAAGGACGUUAGUAACUGAACGUCCCCUGACGGUAUCUAACCAGAAAGCCACGGCUAACUACGUGCCAGCAGCCGCGGUAAUACGUAGGUGGCAAGCGUUGUCCGGAUUUAUUGGGCGUAAAGCGAGCGCAGGCGGUUUCUUAAGUCUGAUGUGAAAGCCCCCGGCUCAACCGGGGAGGGUCAUUGGAAACAGGGAGACUUGAGUGCAGAAGAGGAGAGUGGAAUUCCAUGUGUAGCGGUGAAAUGCGUAGAUAUAUGGAGAAACACCAGUGGCGAAGACGGCUCUCUGGUCUGUAACUGACGCUGAGGCUCGAAAGCGUGGGGAGCAAACAGG
rnacentral:rRNA from 1 species